GACGAACGCUGGCGGCGUGCCUAAUACAUGCAAGUCGAACGCAGUGGGGACGGUUGCGUAACACGUGGGUAACCUCCCAUCAGAGGGGAUAACACUUGGCAACAGGUGCUAAACUGAUACUGAUGGAUGGACCCGCGGUGCAUUAGCUAGUUGGUGAGGUAACGGCUCACCAAGGCUACGAUGCAUAGCCGACCUGAGAGGGUGAUCGGCCACACUGGAACUGAGACACGGCCCAGACUCCUACGGGAGGCAGCAGUAGGGAAUCUUCGGCAAUGGACGAAAGCCUGACCGAGCAACGCCGCGUGAGUGAAGAAGGUUUUCGGAUCGUAAAGCUCUGUUGGUGGGGAAGCGGUAUCUAAACAGAAAGCCACGGCUAACUACGUGCCAGCAGCCGCGGUAAUAC
rnacentral:rRNA from 1 species